rnacentral:rRNA from 1 species
AUGACUGCUCUGUUCCCUUCUUGCAGAACUGUGGCCAGCGCACCAUUGCUUCCGACCUCACGCAGCUGCCACGCGCACGCGCUUCAGCUCCGGCGUCUGGCACGGCGCCCACGCUUCCGCGUACGGCGACGGGGCCGGCUGGCCUCUCCACACCUGCGACGGCUGCGCCGGUGCUGCUGCUGCUGUGCGCUCCGUCACCCGCACUGUCGUGGCCGUCUCUGCUUCCGCGUCCGACAGGCGCCACACCUUGACCGACCCGUCCAGGCUUCCGCUGUACACCACGAACCGCCGAUCACCGCCCGAACCGGCGGCCGCGGCCUCCUCGUCCAUGGCGACGCACUUCACGGGCCCGGUGUGUCCGGCCAGAACGGCGAGACCCACGUGCUCUGCCCCGUCGCGACGCCACACGCAGAGGGUCCGGUCGGCCGAGCCGCUCACGACGACGUUGCCGGCCACCGCCAGGCACAUCACCGCCAUCUUGUGGCCCUUGAGCACACCACCAUAUCUCGCCUCGCCGUCGACCCAGUGCCAGUAGGUGACCAGCCCGUCCGACGAGCCCACGUACACGACGCGGUCCUCGGGCGACACGGCGAUGGCGGUGACCGCGCCCUCGCCCUUCCUCAGCACCUUCUCCAGGACAUGCCUCGUCGCGUCGCCCUUCGCGGCCAUCUCCCGCCGCCACACCUUGACGGUGCCGUCGGCCGACCCGGUGAACACGACGCUGUCGAACCCGGCGGCGGCCACGGUGUUGACGGCGUCGUCGUGCGCGCUGACGGACUCGAGGCACUUGGAGUCGGACACGCGCCACACCUUGAAGGUCCUGUCCCACGAGGCCGAGUAGAGCAGCCCGGCGCCCUCGUCGAGGCUGAGGGAGGACACGGCGUCGCAGUGCCGAAGCCACACCGCGCGCUGGCGCCCCCGGCGCUGCGUCUCGACGUAGCUGGUGGGGUUGACGGCGCUCUUGAGGUAGUCCUUGAGCUUCGGGAGCGACCCCACCUGGCGGUGCACGGCGGGGUUGUCCGCGUCGGCGCGCCACACGCGCACCUUGCCGUCCUGAUGGCCGGUGAAGAUGCGCCGGUCGCCCGCCACUACGAUGGCCUUGACGAGGCCGCUGGCGGUCCUGAACCCGGCGAGCUCGCGCUGGUCCCGCCACACGCGCACGUUCCGGGAGUCGGUGCCGGUGUAAAGAACGUCGCCGGUCGCCGCCAGCGAGUAGACGUGGCCGUCCUCCUUGACCAGCGACGCGAUGAGGUCCGUGGCCCCCGGUUCGGCAACAUCACCCCCGGCGCCGAGGCCCGGGAGGUGCGCCCACGGCGACCUGGGCGUGGGCGGGGUGGAGGAGCCGCCGUAGCGGGACGGCGAGGCGUCCCCGUCCGUGGUGGGGUAGGACGAGCAGCUGUACCCGUCAUCGUCCGACACGGAUGCGGAGGAGGAGGAGAAGGACCUCGGCGAGCAGGCGGCCACCGCGGCCGGGUCCGGCCGGAGGAAGUGGAGCAGCUUCUGGUGGUUACCCAUGGAUCGAUGCCACAACAACUCACAGAACAAACGAUCGAUCAGAUGAUGAUUUGCGCUGCGCCGAGCGGCUGGGUCCUUUUUACGGCCUGCGUCGGAAGGAAAGCCGAGACCGAAAGGGAGGAGAAGAAGAAGCUUGCGAGGCUGGAGAAGAUGGACUGA